UACGAAGGGGGCUAGCGUUGUCCGGAAUUAUUGGGCGUAAAGAGCUCGUAGGCGGUCUGUCGCGUCGGCUGUGAAAACCCGGGGCUCAACCCCGGGCCUGCAGUCGAUACGGGCAGACUAGAGUGCGGUAGGGGAGACUGGAAUUCCUGGUGUAGCGGUGAAAUGCGCAGAUAUCAGGAGGAACACCGGUGGCGAAGGCGGGUCUCUGGGCCGUAACUGACGCUGAGGAGCGAAAGCGUGGGGAGCGAACAGG
rnacentral:rRNA from 1 species